rnacentral:rRNA from 1 species
AACGCGAAGAACCUUACCCAGACUUGACAUGCAUUGGACCGCAUCAGAAAUGAUGCUUCUCUUAGGAGCCGGUGCACAGGUGCUGCAUGGCUGUCGUCAGCUCGUGCCGUGAGGUGUUUGGUUAAGUCCAGCAACGAGCGCAACCCUUAUCAUUAGUUGCCAACAUUUAAGGUGGGAACUCUAAUGAGACUGCCUGGGUUAACCAGGAGGAAGGUGAGGAUGACGUCAAGUCCGCAUGGCCCUUAUGUCUGGGGCUACACACGUGCUACAAUGGUCGGUACAGAAGGCAGCGAAACCGCGAGGUGAAGCAAAUCCCCAAAGCCGGCCUCAGUUCAGAUUGUAGUCUGCAACUCGACUACAUGAAGACGGAAUUGCUAGUAAUGGCGUGUCAGCAACAACGCCGUGAAUACGUUCCCGGGCCUUGUA